CGAAUUAUAUUGGAAUCCAGUUUCUCGAAGUUUCAAGCCGGAUUCUCCCUUCUUCGCAUCAGGCAAUAUUUGAAAGAGAGCUUCUCUGGCCGUCUCCUUUUCAUUUCCCUAACCAUUUUUUUAAGUGAUCAAUUUUUCUAAAUGUGGAAUUUUGGUUUUUUCUCUUAAAUCUGAUUAUGAUUGUUUGAUGUUUCAACUAAUCUUGGAUAGUUGUUAUCAGAAUCUUCAAUUUUCAAUUAUGAGGGUCCGUGUGUUUACCCUCAAAAUUUUCAAUUUUCUUGUGUUUUCUGUAUGGUAUUCAACGAUCAGUGCUUUUAUGUUUUACUUAUAGGGCAUCUCGUUGUUUUCUUUAUUUAGGUUGCGUUUUGAUAUAACUGAAGAUGAAAUGUAAUAACAACUUCAAUAUAUAGAAGAUGAAGAAGCCUGGGGUCUAUACUGUCCAAUUGUUGGGUGUGGUGCACGACUAAAUUCUUUGGAGGACUUUGAAGGAACUACCAUCCUCGGCAUACUGCAUCCUGUUCAGUGUGCUCAAGAGUGUUCCCAACGUCACGCCUGCUCAGUAUACAUGUCUCUGAAGUGCAUGCUUCUUUUUUUCAGUAUGAAUCCUUGUGAAAUGAAGCUAAAAGCUGCAAAAGUUGGCAGCAAAACCUUGGAGACAAGCGUAAGUUCCAAAGUCUUCCGAGUUCAUCGAAAAGGCCCGACCAUCCAAGAAACAUCGGCAGAAGAAGCAUCAUGCGCAAAAAUAACCUGAUAAUAAUAGUAAGAGGAUCAGUAAGAAAGAUGAUAAAGAGGCAAGCAGAAUGGCUGUGAAUAAGACUAUAGAUAGCCUUGUUUCUGCACUUCCAGACUGAGCACAUUAGACUAUUCUCCUUCUUCAGUCAGUAUUGGGAGACGCCACAAUCAAGUUUUUACAUUUGUUCCACGGGCUGUACAACAGAACAGAAAACAUAACCUUUCUGUUAAGGGCUCAGAAGGAUGAUUGCCGUAUUUCAAGAUGAUGAUUCUGCUUACAGGUUUUCUUUGUAAUUCAAAGCUAGAAAAUUCAGUGCUAUCUAGCAGGUUAAGUGUUCUCGGACAUAUUUAUGAUAUUUCUGCACUUUUCCAAAUCAUGUUGCCAAGUUCAACAUAUUACUCAAGGCAUCUUUUCUUCAGUCUCAACACAAGUUCUGUUGUUUUUACGAUUUCAUCCCGAGUCGGUGCAAUUAUAAGCACAAGAUUUUUUAAUGAGUCAGCAACUCAGGUUGCAUUAUUCAUAAUCAUCACAGAAGAAGGCCAUUGGCGAUGGCACAUUUUGUGUGCAAGGUGGAUUAGUACUGCCAGGACUACCACUACAACUAUAAUGAAACCAAUCCCAUCACUGAGCUGAACUUUCGUCUAAUCAGAUAUGAGCCGCAGUGCUCUUGCUUUUACUUCAUUUUUAAGUGGGGUUCGAGCAAUACCCAGAAUUCCUAUCAAGCAAAUUUUACAUCUCUGGAGAGUGCUAUGCUGGGAUAUAUGUGCCUACUCUGGCUUCUGAAGUUGUGAAGGAUGGCCAGCAGUCUCACCACUGGAAGUGUCUUAACUACUGCAGCUGAGAAGCAAAGACAUUUGCAGGCUUCUCUUGCUUUUGAAUGUAAAAGAACUCUCAGAUUGAAACUCAUUUCAACACUCCCUCUCAACGUGGCGUGUAGAUAGACAUCUCGCAUGGCUUGCUUGUCGAGGAAAGAGUUGAAUGGGUGACUUGGUGUUGAAUUAUGAAUCUCAUGGUCAGGUUACAUGAGAUACUGCAGUGUGUGCGUGCAGUAAUUGUGUAAAGUAUAGUCUGGGUUCAUACGUUUGUUUAAUGUAGAAAUAGUGUACAGAGAUUUGUGAACAAUGCUUAGAUAUUUUUACCUGAUUGAGACUCACUUCCGAGUGUUUUUACACUCUUUCAUUCACUCUCUCUUGAUUUCCACAUGGUAUUAGAGCUCAAGUGAGAGAGAAAAGAAAACUCAUCUUAGUUCUCUUCUUUAACUUGAUCUAUUGUUGCUUCAAUUUGCGAUUAAGACCCUGAAGUUAGAUACAAAGCUGGUUUAAAGAAGCUUUU